UACGUAGGUGGCGAGCGUUAUCCGGAUUUAUUGGGCGUAAAGCGUGCGCAGGCGGUUUAUUAAGUCUAAGAUUAAAGCCCGGAGCUUAACUCCGGUUCGUCUUAGAAACUGGUAGACUUGAGUAUGGUAGAGGCAAAUGGAAUUCCUAGUGUAGCGGUGGAAUGCGUAGAUAUUAGGAGGAACACCAGUGGCGAAGGCGAUUUGCUGGGCCAUUACUGACGCUCGUGCACGAAAGCGUGGGGAGCAAAUAGG
rnacentral:rRNA from 1 species